AACGCACAUUGCGCCCCUCGGUAUUCCGGGGGGCAUGCCUGUUCGAGCGUCAUUACAACCCUCAAGCCUUGCUUGGUGUUGGGCGUCACCAGCCUUGGUGUGCCCUAAAAUCAGUGGCGGCGCCGUCUGGCUCUAAGCGUAGUACAUACUCUCGCUAUAGAUGCCCGGUGGAUGCUUGCCAGCAACCUCUAAUCCAUCAAGGUUGACCUCGGAUCAGGUAGGGAUACCCGCUGAACUUAA
rnacentral:misc_RNA from 1 species